rnacentral:rRNA from 1 species
AGAGUUUGAUCCUGGCUCAGGACGAACGCUGGCGGCGUGCUUAAUACAUGCAAGUCGAACGAGGUCCAUCCGAUCUUCGGAUUGGUGAAGACCUAGUGGCGAACGGGUGCGUAACACGUGAGAAACCUGCCCCGGUCUCUGGAAUAACAGUUGGAAACGGCUGCUAAUACCGGAUGCCGUCGGACCAUCGCAUGGUGGACCGACGAAAGGGUUACCGGACCGGGAGGGUCUCGCGGCCUAUCAGCUUGUUGGUGAGGUAACGGCUCACCAAGGCAUCGACGGGUAGCUGGUCUGAGAGGAUGAUCAGCCACACUGGGACUGAGACACGGCCCAGACUCCUACGGGAGGCAGCAGUAGGGAAUAUUGCACAAUGGGCGAAAGCCUGAUGCAGCAACGCCGCGUGCGGGAAGAAGGCCCUAGGGUUGUAAACCGCUUUCAGCAGGGAAGAAAAUGACGGUACCUGCAGAAGAAGGUGCGGCCAACUACGUGCCAGCAGCCGCGGUGACACGUAGGCACCAAGCGUUGUCCGGAUUUAUUGGGCGUAAAGAGCUCGUAGGCGGUUCAGUAAGUCGGGUGUGAAAACUCUGGGCUCAACCCAGAGACGCCACUCGAUACUGCUGUGACUAGAGUGCGGUAGGGGAGCGGGGAAUUCCUAGUGUAGCGGUGAAAUGCGCAGAUAUUAGGAGGAACACCAGUGGCGAAGGCGCCGCUCUGGGCCGUAACUGACGCUGAGGAGCGAAAGCGUGGGUAGCAAACAGGAUUAGAUACCCUGGUAGUCCACGCCGUAAACGUUGGGCACUAGGUGUGGGUCUCAACCAACGAGAUCCGCGCCGUCGCUAACGCAUUAAGUGCCCCGCCUGGGGAGUACGGCCGCAAGGCUAAAACUCAAAGGAAUUGACGG